rnacentral:rRNA from 1 species
GUGCCAGCAGCCGCGGUAAGACAGAGGGUGCAAACGUUGCUCGGAAUUACUGGGCGUAAAGCGCGUGUAGGCGGGCCUUCAAGUCGGACGUGAAAUCCCUGAGCUCAACUCAGGAACUGCAUCCGAAACUGAAGGCCUGGAGUAGUGGAGAGGGAAGCAGAAUUCCUGGUGUAGAGGUGAAAUUCGUAGAUAUCAGGAGGAACACCGGUGGCGAAGGCGGCUUCCUGGACACUUACUGACGCUGAGACGCGAAAGCGUGGGGAGCAAACAGGAUUAGAAACCCCCGUAGUCC